AGGCUCAAGCCCAGUCCAUGGUUUUGUUAUUUAUUUUCCAAUAGAGUCCACGUAUUUUUUGUCAUGUUUCAGACAAAAUCUAGGUUUCUAAAAAAUAAAUAAACUCAAAUGGCGACUGAAGCAGAAUAAUCGGGUAUUCCACAAUUUGACUAAGCAUCAUUUCCAAGAUCCGAUGAAUUCAAAGCCAAUCUGAGGCAUUCAUAGAAAGAUUGUGGUGAGGUCAUUCAAUUAGGUAUUCAAUGAGAAAGUCUCCAAAGGUGUUCGACAAAAGAAAACAAAAAAUAUUCUCUCUCACCUGUCGGUUCCUCUGUCGCAAAGAGAAGAAGAUGGCUAUCUCCGACAGAAGGACUUAAUCCAAUCCUUAAUGGUAUUACAAAAUGUUGUCAUCCACGCUGGUGCACAACAAACAAUCAUUUUAAGAUAAGUGUUCGGAUGAAUACCAUCAUACUAUUUAAUAUCCAUUCAUUGUUAGGAAAACAAAUAAGGAGAUUAGGAUAAUACCAUCUAAUGAUUUUUUUUACAGAUUAUAUACGUAAGGAAAACAAAUAAGGAGAUUAGGAUAAUACUGUGAUGGCAUGAAACUGUAUCUAACGUAAAUCAGGUAUGCAUGAUUUUGGCUUCAAUAAACCAAGUUGUUUUCAUGGCCUAAUCUCAUCAAGCUUGCAGAAUCCAAUAUUCGAGAGGGAAACCUUCAAACUUUAAUCGUUGAAGCUUCAGUGUCGAUGGAACAUCAUUAUCAAUAUACAAAGAUUUGGUAAAUGUACUGUGUAAAAAAUGAAAAUCAGUGUGUUAUAGCAAUUGAGUUUUUUAAAUUA